AGCUCCAAUAGCGUAUACUAAUGUUGUUGCAGUUAAAAAGCUCGUAGUUGAAUUUCUGGUUGUCGACUUAUGGUCCUGCGCCUCGUGCGUUUUGGUACCGUUUUUGUCGACGCCAUCUUAGUCGUGAUUGCUUCUGGCAUUAGGUUGUCGGUUUUAGGAGCGGCUUCGUUUACUGUGAUAACAAAUAGAGUGUUCAAAGCAGACAUUACGUCUUGAAUGCUUCAGCAUGGAAUAAAAAGAUAGGACAGCGGUACUAUUUUAUUGGUAUGUAUACCGUAGUAAUGAUUAAUAGGGAUAGUUGGGGGUAUUCAUAUUUGAUUGUCAGAGGUGAAAUUCUUGGAUUUAUGAAAGAUGAACUUAUGCGAAAGCAUUUAUCAAGGAUGUUUUCA
rnacentral:rRNA from 1 species